rnacentral:rRNA from 1 species
UACAGAGGGGGCGAGCGUUAUUCGGAAUUAUUGGGCGUAAAGGGCGCGUAGGCGGCCCUUCAAGUGACGGGUGAAAUCCCUCGGCUUAACCGAGGAACUGCCUGUCAGACUGGGGGGCUUGAGACCGGGAGAGGUGAGUGGAAUUCCCAGUGUAGCGGUGAAAUGCGUAGAUAUUGGGAGGAACACCAGUGGCGAAGGCGGCUCACUGGACCGGAACUGACGCUGAGGCGCGAAAGCGUGGGGAGCAAACAGG